AAGGUUCUGGCGGGUGCGCCAGGUCCCAAUAUAUCCGGGGGGCCACAUUCGUUCGAGAAAGGGAGCUGUCCCUGCCAUCGCCGUGGCGUUGGUAUAUGGCGCCCACCUGGUCUACCAGGGUCUCCGGCGGGUAAAAGAGGAUCAGCGGCCAUGCUGGAACCUUC
rnacentral:other from 2 species